UUUAAACUACAUUUUACGCGAUUUUAUAUUAUAUUUGAUGGUAGAUAUGUCUUAUGGGAUUUUUAGAUGGAUAGAUAGAUAGAUAGAUAGAUGUUUUGGCCGUUUGGGUUUUAGAAUGAGUUUUAAGGCCUUGGUUCCUCCCGGAGAAACCUGGCCAGAGACCCAGGAAAGAGGCGGAAGGAAAGGAAAGGAAGAGUCUGCCAGAGUCUUAGGAGCCUCCUCUUGGAAGCCAUGAUGGUUGAAAGGCAGCUUGGAAGCAGGAUACUCAGGACCCCGAUGACACUCCUAGGAGGAAUAGGACUAGGACUGUUGUAUUGAUAUCCCAGCCUUCUCCCAAGAUCGGGACUCAGCGCAGUUUGUUUGUUUGUUUGUUUGUUUGUUUGUGUUCUUUAUGCCCCGCCCUGAAGGCUAUCUGAGUGGCUGUAUCUAUUUACUUUAAUCUGUAUUUUAUUUUCAAUCUGUAUUUUUAUUGCUAAUGUUUCUGUUUAUGGGGAAGGGUUGGGGGAUUAUGUUUGUUUUAUUAUUUGUACAUCUCCGUGUUUUAUUGAAAUGCAUUGCAACCCACUUUGAUCUGUAGGGAGAGGAGGGAUAUAAACACAUUACUACUACUAGUAGUAGUAUUUAAAUACAUUUAUUUAUAGAUGAUUACAACAUUAAAAAUACAAAAGCCUCCUCUCUCUCACAACACCCAAAAAUGUGGCGACCCAAAGAAAGCAGACUUUUGAUGCCAUCUCAGCCCUAUAAAAGCUUCCAUGCCAUUCUGCCCCUUUGGAGAGGCCCAGGCCUUCCUUGCAAAGCCAUUCAUUGAGCUCCUUCCCUGGGAAGUCAUUAACGCAUUUUGAAAGCGCAGCCAAACACAAGAUGCUUCAUAAUCCAUAACAGAUCUGCCCAGUUUCCUGAAUGGCCUCUUGUGAGGAACUUUAUCAGGGACCUUUGAGAAGUCCAGUACCUCUUAUCUGCCAGGGAUCCUUUCUCCACAGCCUCUUUGGCUCCCUCAAGGAACCUUAUUUCGGCUGGGAGCCCCACUGCUUUGCCCUGACAGAUCAGGCUUGCUUUGAUCAUUCUUGCAGCCCAUUUACCCGGUUCUAAAGUCAGUCUUGCUGGUCUAUAAUUCCCAAGACCACCCUCAGGGUGUUUUUUCCCUUCCCAAACAGAUAGGCAAAGCCUUGGCUACACUCCAGUUGCAAGCCCUGAUCUUAAUGAUAGAUUAAGUUGCUUCUUCUUUUCUUCUUAAGCAGAAUGGCUGCUUCAUUCUUAAAACUUGCUGAAUUCUUGAAUAAAUGCAAAGCCUGCUCCCUCCAGUGAUUAAUUGCAGUUUGCUAUAUUAAUUUGUUCCACUGCCUCCUCUUUGACAUCUCAGUCUCUUACAGCUUCUUUUUUGGGGGAAGUAAAAUUCAGCCCCUUCGCCUUCUCUCUCUCUUUCAGCCCCUGAAGGUGGCCAUCUCCAGAUGUCUAUGGAAGGCUGUCCUCUCAUAGACGCUGCAGGGAGACAUUGCUUUCUCUUGCUCUGGAGGACAGGGGUUCAAAAACGAUAAGGACCAGUUUGGGACAAAUGGCUUCAAAACAGCAAUGAAGAUUCCAACAUUGAUGGAGAAUUUCCUGAUGGCAUGAGCUCUUCGGCCGGGGAACAAACUCACACAAGAAGGUAGUCUCCAUCUGAGGAAGUAGACGUUAGUCUAUGAAAGCUCAUGCUGCCAACUUCUUUCUUUCAGAUAGUCUCGGGAUCUCUCUACAUACAGAAAAGGGGGUCUGUUCUCCUUCGAUGGAGGCCUCGAAACCAAGAUCAGACGGUCCCAUCUCAGGAAGACAUGAGCUGUAAUUUCGUGCACCAGUCAUGGGUUGGAAUAGAUUGCCCCUGGAGUGCCUUCUGUUAAUCUAUGGGUGAUGGCCCUUGGAUCCACUCUGAUUGCAACUAAAAUAGCUAGAUGUCUUGCAGAAGAUGGAGCCAGACAACCCUAAGCUUAACCGUGGGGAGCACAGCAGUCCUGGACCCAUUCCUUCUACACACUUGGACACCUACGCAGCCCCAGGUGCCCAGAAGCGGAGGCCGUAAUGAGUCUCCUGGAAGCCAAAGCAAUUGCUCUGUCUUUUUAAAAAUGGAAGGAGCCUUGGCCGGGUGAUCAUUUGCCUGGCUGAGCCGUCCUCUUCUCCCCGUUGCUGCUGCUGCCGUCAAAGCCUGGGAUGUACUUCUGUCUUCUCAAGCACAGCCUUUGUAACUGGACCACAUCUAAUGGCUGCACAAUGCAAAUGAAGGCUGGGAGGCUUGUUUCCUUUGAUGUGUGUGACUAAACGCUCAAAAGGGAGAUUUCUCCCCUCCAAUCCUCUGCUGAGGAGGGAGAAGGAGCGUCCUCCUCAAAAGACCUGUUGGCUCUCUGGAUUUGUUUUCCUUGGCUUCCUUUUGUUUUUCUGCCAACGACUGAAGCGGCUUUGUGGGACAGACAGUCGGAAGCUGGAAGCCGGCCCGGUUCCUUUUCUUUUUGCCCUCCAAAAGGCGAUCAAAAGAGAAUUUCCUUUCCUUGUGUUUGAGCAGCAGACGCACGUAGGCUUUGCCAACAUCCAGCCAGCACACAAUGGAGCCUGGCUCGCUUUCUGCAGCAAAACGGGCCUUGCCCAGCUAAGACCUGAGGUCUCGGAGCCAAAAACCGGGGGCCAAAGGGUGGCCCAAUGUGGGGCAGGUCCUGGGGAUGCCCUCCAUCAGGACACACUAAGCACCCACCAAUUGCUCAGACGCUAUGGCAGUCAUUCUAUUUUUUAACCAUGCAAAGGGAAGCAGAUGCUCAUGCGCAACAUGUAUAAUACGCCUUUGGGUCGGCCCAAUAUAAGUAUCCCUGUUUGGUGGAUUUCGGAUGAUGCUCUACUUUGCUACAUGGCCAACACGGCUACCCCUGGCUAUGUUUAAUGAAUUCAGUUAUUAAGUCAUUCCGUGGCCAUGGCCCGGUUUUGACAGAGAUCUGGGGUUUUUACUUUUAUGUUGUCUUUUUGGAUAACCAGCAAUAAAUGCAAUUCUAAGUCCUGA